AGAGUUUGAUCCUGGCUCAGAGUGAACGCUGGCGGCGUGCCUAACACAUGCAAGUCGAACGAUGAUAGGAAGCUUGCUUCCUUGAUUAGUGGCGCACGGGUGAGUAUACCAUAGAUAAUGUACCUCUUAGUUCGGGAUAGCCACUGGAAACGGUGAUUAAUACCGGAUACUCCUUCUCGUUAUAAGGCGAGUCGGGAAAGUUUUUUCGCUAAGAGAUCAGUCUAUGUCCUAUCAGCUAGUUGGUGAGGUAAUGGCUCACCAAGGCUAUGACGGGUAUCUGGUUUGAGAGGAUGAUCAGACACACUGGAACUGAGACACGGUCCAGACUCCUACGGGAGGCAGCAGUGAGGAAUAUUGCACAAUGGAGGAAACUCUGAUGCAGCAACGCCGCGUGGAGGAUGACGCAUUUCGGUGUGUAAACUCCUUUUAAGAGGGAAGAUAAUGACGGUACCUCUUGAAUAAGCACCGGCUAACUCCGUGCCAGCAGCCGCGGU
rnacentral:rRNA from 1 species